ACGAACGCUGGCGGCGUGCUUAACACCUGCCCGUCGAACGGAAAGGCCCUGCUUUUGUGGGGUGCUCGAGUGGCGAACGGGUGAGUAACACGUGAGUAACCUGCCCUUGACUUUGGGAUAACUUCAGGAAACUGGGGCUAAUACCGGAUAGGAGCUCCUGCUGCAUGGUGGGGGUUGGAAAGUUUCGGCGGUUGGGGAUGGACUCGCGGCUUAUCAGCUUGUUGGUGGGGUAGUGGCUUACCAAGGCUUUGACGGGUAGCCGGCCUGAGAGGGUGACCGGCCACAUUGGGACUGAGAUACGGCCCAGACUCCUACGGGAGGCAGCAGUGGGGAAUAUUGCACAAUGGGCGGAAGCCUGAUGCAGCAACGCCGCGUGCGGGAUGACGGCCUUCGGGUUGUAAACCGCUUUCGCCUGUGACGAAGCGUGAGUGACGGUAAUGGGUAAAGAAGCACCGGCUAACUACGUG
rnacentral:rRNA from 1 species